AACGAACGCUGGCGGCAUGCCUAACACAUGCAAGUCGAACGGCAGCACGGGAGCAAUCCUGGUGGCGAGUGGCGAACGGGUGAGUAAUAUAUCGGAACGUGCCCGGUCGUGGGGGAUAAUGUAGCGAAAGCUACGCUAAUACCGCAUACGAUCUACGGAUGAAAGCGGGGGAUCGCAAGACCUCGCGCGAUUGGAGCGGCCGAUAUCAGAUUAGGUAGUUGGUGAGGUAAAGGCUCACCAAGCCGACGAUCUGUAGCUGGUCUGAGAGGACGACCAGCCACACUGGGACUGAGACACGGUCCAGACUCCUGCGGGAGGCAGCAGUGGGAAUAUUGGACAAUGGGCGAAAGCCUGAUCCAGCCAUGCCGCGUGUGUGAAGAAGGUCUUCGGAUUGUAAAGCACUUUAAGUUGGGUAGGAAGGGUAGUAACCUAAUACGUUGCUACUUUGACGUUACCGAUAGAAUAAGCACCGGCUAACUU
rnacentral:rRNA from 1 species